UUGAGCUUACGACAGGUGCUGCAUGGCUGUCGUCAGCUCGUGCCGUGAGGUGUUGGGUUAAGUCCCGCAACCGAGCGCAACCCCUAUCCCUCUGUUGGUCCGCAAGGAUCUCUCUGAGGAAACUGCCAGCGAUGAGCUGGAGGAAGGUGGGAUGACGUCAAGUCAUCAUGGCCCUUACGUCCAGGGCGACACACGUGCUACAAUGGCAGCUACAGAGGGUCGCAAUACCGCGAGGUGGAGCCAAUCCCUAAAAGCUGUCUCAGUUGGGAUCGGAGUCUGCAACUCGACUCCGUGAACGCGGAAUCGCUAGUAAUCGUGGAUCAGCCAUGCCACGGUGAAUACGUUCCCGGGCCUU
rnacentral:rRNA from 1 species